AUUGCACGCUGGCGGCAUGCCUUACACAUGCAAGUCGAACGGCAGCACGGAGCUUGCUCUGGUGGCGAGUGGCGAACGGGUGAGUAAUAUAUCGGAACGUACCCAAGAGUGGGGGAUAACGUAGCGAAAGUUACGCUAAUACCGCAUACGAUCUAAGGAUGAAAGCAGGGACCUUCGGGCCUUGUGCUCCUGGAGCGGCCGAUAUCUGAUUAGCUAGUUGGUGAGGUAAAGGCUCUCCAAGGCAUCGAUCAGUAGCUGGUCUGAGAGGACGACCAGCCACACUGGAACUGAGACACGGUCCAGACUCCUACGGGAGGCAGCAGUGGGGAAUUUUGGACAAUGGGGGCAACCCUGAUCCAGCAAUGCCGCGUGAGUGAAGAAGGCCUUCGGGUUGUAAAGCUCUUUUGUCAGGGAAGAAACGGUGAAGGCUAAUAUCCUUUGCUAAUGACGGUACCUGAAGAAUAAGCACCGGCUAACUACGUGCCAGCCGCCGCAGUAA
rnacentral:rRNA from 1 species